rnacentral:rRNA from 1 species
UAAAUGACUCUCGGCAACGGAUAUCUUGGCUCUUGCAUCGAUGAAGAACGUAGCGAAAUGCGAUACUUGGUGUGAAUUGCAGAAUCCCGUGAACCAUCGAGUCUUUGAACGCAAGUUGCGCCUGAAGCCAUUAGGCUGAAGGCACGUCUGCCUGGGCGUCACGC